AUUCAGCUUACGAGUUUCAAAUGGGACGAAACACGUGUCCUGAAU
rnacentral:hammerhead_ribozyme from 1 species